GACGGGGCCCGCACAAGCGGUGGAGUAUGUGGUUUAAUUCGACGCAACGCGCAGAACCUUUACCUGGUCUUGACAUCCCGAGAAUUUCCUUGAAAGAGGGAAGUGCCUCGCAAGAGGAGCUUGGAGACAGGUGCUGCAUGGCUGUCGUCAGCUCGUGUCGUGAGAUGUUGGGUUAAGUCCCGCAACGAGCGCAACCCUUGUCUUUAGUUGCCGGCAUUCGGUUGGGCACUCUAGAGGGACUGCCGGCGACAAGUCGGAGGAAGGUGGGGAUGACGUCAAAUCAUCAUGCCCCUUAUGACCUGGGCUACACACGUGCUACAAUGGUUGGUACAACGAGUUGCGAGUCGGUGACGGCGAGCUAAUCUCUUAAAGCCAAUCUCAGUUCGGAUUGUAGGCUGCAACUCGCCUACAUGAAGUCGGAAUCGCUAGUAAUCGCGGAUCAGCACGCCGCGGUGAAUACGUUCCCGGGCCUU
rnacentral:rRNA from 1 species